CUAACAAUUCCUCUGUGUAACCCCUAACAUUCUUCUGCUCCAUGCUCCACUGCAGUGCAACCCCUGAUAUUCUUCUGUCUCAAUCCUUCUUCUAUAAGAACCCUCUCAUACAACCCCUUCUUCUGAUCUUCUUUCUCUUUCUUUUCUUAAUCAAUUUAUAAACUGUUAUCAGAAUAGUGUCAAGUCUGUUGAUAUUGCUGUUGGAACAGAUUGUACAAACUGUGCAGAUGGUACAAAUGGUUUAAUCUGCAACAUCAGUAACAUCUGCUUAAUUGAUGGCAUGUCUGUUAUAUUAUGAAUCAAUUCAUCUGUGUUGGCCUGAGUGCCCUGUGUUUAUGAUUGUAUCUAGAUGCCCAAGUUAAAGUUUAAGAAUAAGUUACCCAAGUUCUAUGAAGCUGC
rnacentral:sRNA from 2 species